rnacentral:lncRNA from 1 species
CAAGGAGCUGCACCCUCCCUAGUUACAAACCUCCCUCCAAGGUUUUGUAGUGAAUGAACAUUCUAGAUUUACACCAGGAUGCUCACACGUAAGGAAAUGCUUCUGCUUCCAAGAUCUACCUGUUGUGCUCCAUUCCAUGCCCUGAGAUCUCCUCAGCGCUGACCUGCUGCCUCCCCACAAACAGCCCUGCAGCCUCUGGAACGCUCCCAAGUGUCCAUGCUAAACACAGUGAUUCACUGCACCGUGCUCAUAAUGGGCAAGAAAAGAGGCUUUUGAGUUCUGUAACCCAUAACAACUUUGAAAAGAACAAAGGGCCUCUCCAAAGUCACUGGAGUUAAUGGGCUCUUUUCACUCCAGCCCAACCUGGUCUGAAUAUCUGAACCGGGAGCUGCUGCCAUCUCAGGCAGCUCUGGCUGUGGCGAGAGCUGCUGCUCAUUUCCUGUUACCCCUAAUGAAACAAAAUCACGGCAGGUUAAAGAAAGGCACAGACGCUCUGUGGAGUGUGAUGCUUGGUCCCAAGCUGGGGCUGAGCACGGCCCUGCAGCCCCCAGGAGAUUUUCCAGUGCAGCAUUUCCUCAUGAGAUCUGUCAGCCCUGAAAUGCUUUGUGGGGAUGUGCUGGUUCAAGCCCAUCUUGUGAGGAGCCCCAGCAGUUUUUUGACAGACACCUCUGCACCCUUGCACAUUCCUGCAGUGCCUCAGCAGCUCCCACCCCACAGCAAUGUCCCACACCCUGCAUGGACAGCACACGUCUCAGGUACUGAGACAGUCCAUCAAUUUAGUUCAUUAUGAGGGGAAAAACAAAUGCAUCCAAAAUUGAUGAAAUAUUCCAGACAAUAAAAUUUUUAGAAGUACUGUGUGUUCAUUUUAAUAGUUUAUGAAUUUGUAGUGGCUGAUCUCUCCCUAUUUUUACUCUCAUAAACCAUUCAGACAACAACUGUUACACAUAUUUCCUUAACACUGUUCUAAUUUCAGCUCAUUUCACUGUUUUAUUUCAUAUUCCUCAACUAUCAUAUUUCAAAAUUUACGGUCUUGCACCAAAGGUCACAUAUGGCCACAUCUAAGUCCUCUAAGAUCUGUGAUUCUGAAACACUAAGCUGAUGUUGGUUUAAUUGAUUCUGUGGAAGCAGCGAUGCCUGUAGCUCCUGAGAAUUAGGGCUUUCCACAAACUGGCAAACUUUCAGUGGGUAAAAUAAAUAUCCUCAUGUCCAUGUGAUGGAGGGUCUAUGCACAGCACGCAGUUAUAUCAACACACCUCUCUAAUGAUGCACUUCAGAUUAAAUACUGGGUCCUAAGAGCCAAAGGAUCACGGUGUGUGGGGCACAAGCCAAACAAAUGCCAGUAACACGUCCCAGCCGUUCCCUCUCUUGGGAGCAGCUGCUCCAAAGUCUGAAGGUUCCAUCAGGAGGGUUAAAGGGG